rnacentral:tRNA from 1 species
GCCUCCUUAGCUCAGCUGGUAGAGCAACUGACUUGUAAUCAGUAGGUCGGCGGUUCGAUCCCGUCAGGGGGCUC